rnacentral:rRNA from 1 species
UUCGGGAGGGCGUUUACCACGGUGUGGUUCAUGACUGGGGUGAAGUCGUAACAAGGUAGCCCUAGGGGAACCUGGGGCUGGAUCACCUCCUUA